rnacentral:rRNA from 1 species
CGCCAGGAAUUUUCCUGGUAGGAUCUGCCCACUGAACUUUAAAUGGCCGCAGUACCCUGACUGUGCUAAGGUAGCAUAAUAAUUUGCCUUUUAAUUAAAGGCUAGCAUGAAUGAUUUGACGAAAGAAGAACUGUCUCUACUUAUUUUAAAUAAAUUAACCUAGAAGUUAAAAGGCUUCUAUUCUCUAGAGGGACGACAAGACCCUAUAAAGCUUUAUUUAUCAUAUUUCUAUUUAUUUCAAAAAAAAAAUAUAAAUUUAUAAAUUUUAUUGGGGCGAUAAAUAAACAAACAUUAUUAACCAUAACGUUCUUAACGAAAUUUAUAAAACGUUUUUAAACCACAACAAGUUACUUUAGGGAUAACAGCAUAAUUUCUUUUUAGAGCCCUUAUCGACAAAGAAGAUUAUGACCUCGAUGUUGAAUUGAGCUACUCCUUUUAUGUAGACUUAAAAGGCAGGAGUCUGUUCGACCCUUAA